rnacentral:rRNA from 1 species
AAUAGAUACCCAGGUAGUCCUGGCAGUAAACGGUGCACGUUUGGUGUGGGCAGGUUCAGACCCUGUCCGUGCCGGAGCUAACGCGUUAAACGUGCCGCCUGGGGAAGUACGGUCGCAAGAUUAAAACUCAAAGAAAUUGACGGGGGCCCGCACAAGCGGUGGAGUAUGUGGCUUAAUUCGAUGCAACGCGAAGAACCUUACCUGGCCUUGACAUGCAUCUCUAAGUUAAUGAAAGUUAGCGACUUGGUAGCAAUAUCAAGAAUUUGCACAGGUGCUGCAUGGCUGUCGUCAGCUCGUGUCGUGAGAUGUUGGGUUAAGUCCCGCAACGAGCGCAACCCUUGUGUCCAGUUGCCCGCAAGGGAUCUCUGGACAGACUGCCCUGUGAAACGGGGAGGAAGGUGGGGAUGACGUCAAGUCAGUAUGGCCCUUACGGCCAGGGCUGCACACGUACUACAAUGCCCAGAACAGAAUGAUCCGAGACCGCGAGGUGGAGGAAAUCGACAAAUCUGGGCCCAGUUCGGAUUGGAGG